CCUGGCAGCCAUAGCGAUACGGUACCACCUGACUCCAUUCCGAACUCAGAAGUGAAACGUAUUAGCGCCGAUGGUAGUGUGGGG
rnacentral:rRNA from 1 species